AUGACCAGGUUGGAAGAGACCUUCAAGGUCAUCGAGUCCAACCCAGCCCCAACCCCUCACCCAAACCCUGGCACCCAGAGCCACAUCCAGGCUUUGUUAAACACACCCAGGGAUGGGGAUCCACCACCUCCUGGGCAGAACAUUCCAGAACUUCCAUCCAGCAGCACACAGGGAAACCUGGGACCUGCCAGGCUGGCUCCUCCUGCCCCAGUGACAGCAGGGGACAAUGAUCCUCCUGGCUGUCCUGGCCUUGUCACCUCCUCCUGUCCCAGUGCCCCUCAAAAGGAACCCCCAAAGCUUCACUGGGGCCCAGGUUGUGCCCCAGUCCCACAGCUCCUCCUGUCCAGCUGCUGGACAGCCUUGGCACCUGAGGCCACCCCCAGAGGAAAAUGGUGAUUCAUGCCAGGGAAGGGAGCAAACCCCACAGGACACGGGUCACUGGGAUGUGUCACCUGCCCCGUCUCCAUGUUCUCACCUCAUCAGCUGUCCAAAAAUCAGAACUUUCCUCCAUUCUCCAAAGUUUCCCUGAGAAAGAGUAAGACCAAAAUGUCCUUAUUGCCAAGGACACCUCUGUCCCCUCUUCUUUUGUCCCUUCUCUGAGAUCACUGAACCAGCACGGAGCUGGGAAAGGAAGAAAAACUCCAAUUUCUGAUGUGUUUUGGCCCUUCCUACAAGGACAAAGCUGGAAACAGCCAGGAAACCACCGAGUCCUCUGCAAAAAAGGAAGUUGAUGGGCAAAGGCUGUGCCAGACAAACUCCUGCUGCUGUUCCUGCUGGAUGUACCUGCCCAACAAAUCCUGGAGAGCCAGGGAAAGUCACCUUCACUGAUUUACUGGAAUUUGUGUGCUCAGGGCAAGGCGUGGAGCCUCAGGAUGUGACAAACUGGGAAUUGUCAGGCUGGAGGAGCAAGGAGCCAACAUUAUCCCAUGGAAAUCUGUCCAACAUUGGUUGAGGCCCUGCAAAAGCCACCUGGGAGAUUCUGCUCUGCCUCCAUUCCACCUUUUUGCUGGAAAAUUAACCAGCAGAGACAAAGCAGCCCAAAAUGAGAGAGACAAGGAGAAGAAGGGCACACAUGGUGCAGGGCCCAGCCAAACCUCCACCCCCUCCAGGUGUCCAGCGGGAUGAAAAACAGGAUUAUGGAAAACACGGGAGGAAAAGCAGCUGCUCCUGUCCAUCCCUGCUGUCACAGCUUCCCCUGGCAGCCCCAGCCAGGCCAGCAGGGAACCAGACCAAGAGCAGCUCUUUGAUG
rnacentral:lncRNA from 1 species